CCUACGGGAGGCAGCAGUGAGGAAUAUUGGUCAAUGGACGCAAGCCUGAACCAGCCAUGCCGCGUGCAGGAAGACGGCUCUAUGAGUUGUAAACUGCUUUUGUAAGAGGGUAAACGCAGAUACGCGUAUCUGUCUGCAAGUAUCGUACGAAUAAGGAUCGGCUAACUCCGUGCCAGCAGCAGCGGUAAUACGGAGGAUUCAAGCGUUAUCCGGAUUUAUUGGGUUUAAAGGGUGCGUAGGCGGUCGUGUAAGUUAGAGGUGAAAUCCCGAGGCUCAACUUCGGAAUUGCCUGUGAUACUGUUCGGCUAGAGUGGAGGUGCGGUAGGCGGAAUGUAUGGUGUAGCGGUGAAAUGCUUAGAUAUCAUGCAGAACACCGAUUGCGAAGGCAGCUUACCGAGCUACUUCUGACGUUGAGGCACGAAAGCGUGGGGAGCAAACAGGAUUAGAUACCCGGGUAGUC
rnacentral:rRNA from 1 species